CCUACGGGAGGCAGCAGUGGGGAAUCUUGCACAAUGGGCGAAAGCCUGAUGCAGCAACGCCGCGUGGGGGAUGAAGGCCCUCGGGUUGUAAACCCCUUUCGGCAGGGACGAAGCGACAGUGACGGUACCUGCAGAAGAAGUCCCGGCUAACUACGUGCCAGCAGCCGCGGUAAU
rnacentral:rRNA from 1 species